GUAGUCAGUCUUCCUUACACUUACUGAACUGUGUUUUGUCUUGUUUCUUUAGGCACUGGAAAAUCUCAGUUUCUCAAGUUUGCUUCAAGUCUCAGUCCUCAUUCUGUAUUAACUACUGGAGUGGGUACUUAUAGUGCUGGACUCACUGUUGCUGCUGUUAAGGAUGGCAGUGAAUGGCAGUUAGAAGUUGGUGCUUUAGUAUUAGCUGAUGGUGGACUGUGUUGCAUAGAUGAGUUUAAUAGUAUUAAUGAUAGGGACAGAUCCUGUAUACAUGAAGCAAUGGAGCAA
rnacentral:lncRNA from 1 species